rnacentral:rRNA from 1 species
GCCAGACUCCUACGGGAGGCAGCAGUAGGGAAUUUUCGGCAAUGGGGGGAACCCUGACCGAGCAACGCCGCGUGAACGAAGAAGUUAUUCGUAAUGUAAAGUUCUUUUAUCAGGGAAGAAAGAGGAAUUUGACGGUACCUGAGGAAUAAGCUCCGGCUAACUACGUGCCAGCAGCCGCGGUAAUACGUAGGGGGCGAGCGUUAUCCGGAUUCACUGGGUGUAAAGGGAGCGUAGACGGCCAUGCAAGCCAGGGGUGAAAGCCCGGGGCCCAACCCCGGGACUGCCCUUGGAACUGUGCGGCUAGAGUGCGGGAGGGGCAGGCGGAAUUCCUGGUGUAGCGGUGAAAUGCGUAGAUAUCAGGAGGAACACCGGCGGCGAAGGCGGCCUGCUGGACCGCGACUGACGUUGAGGCUCGAAAGCGUGGGGAGCGAACAGGAUUAGAUACCCGCGUAAG